AUGACGCCUUUCGGGGUGUAAACCACUGUUGCCCGGGACGAACAUCUGGUUUCGACCAGACUGACGGUACCGGGUGAGGAAGCACCGGCUAACUCCGUGC
rnacentral:rRNA from 1 species